AUUGAACGCUGGCGGCAUGCCUUACACAUGCAAGUCGAACGGCAGCACGGGGCAACCUGGUGGCGAGUGGCGAACGGGUGAGUAAUGCAUCGGAACGUACCUUUCAGUGGGGGAUAACGUAGCGAAAGUUACGCUAAUACCGCAUAUUCUGUGAGCAGGAAAGCAGGGGAUCGCAAGACCUUGCGCUGAUUGAGCGGCCGAUGUCAGAUUAGCUAGUUGGUGAGGUAAAGGCUCACCAAGGCGACGAUCUGUAGCGGGUCUGAGAGGAUGAUUCGCCACACUGGAACUGAGACACGGUCCAGACUCCUACGGGAUGCAGCAGUGGGGAAUUUUGGACAAUGGGGGCAACACUGAUCCAGCCAUGCCGCGUGAGUGAAGAAGGCCUUCGGGUUGUAAAGCUCUUUCGGCCGGGAAGAAAUCGCACGGGCUAAUACCCUGUGUGAUGACGGUACCGGAAUAAGAAGCACCGGCUAACUACGUGCCAGCAGCCGCGGUAAGAC
rnacentral:rRNA from 1 species